AGUGAACGCUGGCGGCGUGCCUAAUACAUGCACGUCGAACGGAGUGGCGCACGGGAGAGGAAUGUAAAGAUAAUCUGACAUACACUAGAGGACAAGAGGGGGAAACGGAAGAUAAUACGAAAGAGUGUAGGAUGAGGCUAUAUGGUAUCAGCUAGUUGGUGAGGUAAUGGCUCACCAAGGCUAUGACGCAUAACUGGUCUGAGAGGAUGAUCAGUCACACUGGAACUGAGACACGGUCCAGACUCCUACGGGAGGCAGCAGUAGGGAAUAUUGCUCAAUGGGGGAAACCCUGAAGCAGCAACGCCGCGUGGAGGAUGACACUUUUCGGAGCGUAAACUCCUUUUGUUAGGGAAGCGUUCCCUACCCCCUAAGCACCGGCUAACUCCGUGCCAGCAGCCGCGGUAAUUC
rnacentral:rRNA from 1 species